ACGGGAGGCAGCAGUGGGGAAUAUUGCACAAUGGGCGUAAGCCUGAUGCAGCGACGCCGCGUGAGCGAAGAAGUAUUUCGGUAUGUAAAGCUCUAUCAGCAGGGAAGAUAAUGACGGUACCUGACUAAGAAGCACCGGCUAAAUACGUGCCAGCAGCCGCGGUAACACGUAUGGUGCAAGCGUUAUCCGGAUUUACUGGGUGUAAAGGGAGCGUAGGCGGUUUUACAAGUCUGAUGUGAAAGCCCGGGGCUCAACUCCGGUAUUGCAUUGGAAACUGUAGAACUAGAGUGUCGGAGGGGUAAGUGGAAUUCCUAGUGUAGCGGUGAAAUGCGUAGAUAUUAGGAGGAACACCAGUGGCGAAGGCGGCUUACUGGACGAUUACUGACGCUGAGGCUCGAAAGCGUGGGGAGCAAACAGGAUUAGAUACCCUGGUA
rnacentral:rRNA from 1 species